rnacentral:rRNA from 1 species
UACGUAGGGUGCAAGCGUUACUCGGAAUUACUGGGCGUAAAGCGUGCGCAGGCGGCUUUGCAAGUCAGGUGUGAAAUCCCCGGGCUUAACCUGGGAAUUGCGCUUGUUACUGGCAGACUAGAGUGCGUCAGAGGGAGGUGGAAUUCCACGUGUAGCAGUGAAAUGCGUAGAGAUGUGGAGGAACACCGAUGGCGAAGGCAGCCUCCUGGGAUGACACUGACGCUGAGACACGAAAGCGUGGGGAGCAAACAGG